AGCAGCAGCCGCGGUAAUACGUAGGUGGCAAGCGUUGUCCGGAAUUAUUGGGCGUAAAGGGCUCGCAGGCGGUUUCUUAAGUCUGAUGUGAAAGCCCCCGGCUCAACCGGGGAGGGUCAUUGGAAACUGGGAAACUUGAGUGCAGAAGAGGAGAGUGGAAUUCCACGUGUAGCGGUGAAAUGCGUAGAGAUGUGGAGGAACACCAGUGGCGAAGGCGACUCUCUGGUCUGUAACUGACGCUGAGGAGCGAAAGCGUGGGGAGCGAACAGGAUUAGAUACCCCAGUAGUCCCUGUCUCUUAUAC
rnacentral:rRNA from 1 species